rnacentral:tRNA from 1 species
GCGGGUGUCGUAUAGUGGCUAUUACCACAGCCUUCCAAGCUGUUGAGAGGGGUUCGAUUCCCCUCACCCGCUCCA